AUUGAACGCUGGCGGCAUGCUUUACACAUGCAAGUCGAACGGUAACAGGGUGCUUGCACCGCUGACGAGUGGCGAACGGGUGAGUAAUGCGUCGGAACGUGCCGAGUAGUGGGGGAUAACGCAGCGAAAGUUGUGCUAAUACCGCAUACGUACUGAGGUAGAAAGUGGGGGACCUUCGGGCCUCACGCUAUUCGAGCGGCCGACGUCUGAUUAGCUAGUAGGUGAGGUAAAGGCUCACCUAGGCGACGAUCAGUAGCGGGUCUGAGAGGAUGAUCCGCCAAUCUGGGACUGAGACACGGCCCAGACUCCUACGGGAGGCGGCAGUGGGGAAUUUUGGACGAUGGGCGAAGGCCUGAUCCAGCCAUGCCGCGUGUCUGAAGAAGGCCUUCGGGUUGUAAAGGACUUUUGUCAGGGAGUAAAUCCCUAGUGCUAAUAACACUGGGGGAUGACAGUACCUGAAGAAUAAGCACCGGCUAACUACGUGCCAGCCGCCGCGGUAA
rnacentral:rRNA from 1 species